rnacentral:rRNA from 1 species
GGAAGUAAAAGUCGUAACAAGGUCUCCGUUGGUGAACCAGCGGAGGGAUCAUUACCGAGUUUACA